GAGGAAAGCCCAAGAAAGUAUGGGAUGUGUCAGUACUCUAAAUGAUGGCAUCUAAAUGCAGAAGGAGGACCACAUGGCCCUCUUUUAUCCCUUUAGGGGAUAAAUAUUACUAGGGAAGAAACAGUGGCUUUCUUUAA